rnacentral:lncRNA from 10 species
UCCUGCCAGAGGCACUGCAGGGUGUAGUCACUUUCAGCACUCCUGUCUGACAACUCCCAGACUUUUCCUGCUUUAAUCUCUUCAAUGCCCAACUCAGAGAUAAAUCUUCCUAAAAUAACAUUCUCACCAUGUUGCUUUCCUGGUCAAGAACCUACAGGCUCUCCUCAUAGAUUACUGCAUCAAGAUCCCAAUACUCAGCUGGGCAUGAUGGCUCAUGCCUGUAAUCCUAGCACUGUGACAGGUCGAGGUGGGUGCAUAGCUUGAGCCCAGGGAGUUCAAGAACAGUCUGGGCAACAUGGCAAAACCCCAUCUCUACCAAAAAAAAAAAAAAAAGGAAAAUUGGCCAGGCAUGGUGGUGCAUGCCUGUAGUUCAGCUACUUGGAGGCUGAGGCAGGAGGAUCACUUGAGCCCAGGAGGUUGAGGUUGCAGUGAGCUGAAAUUGCACCACUACACUCCAGCCCAAGUGAUAGAGUGAAAGACUCUGUCAAACAAACAAACAAACAAACAAAAAACAAAAACACUCAAAUUCUGUACUUGAAAUUCACGGUUCUGGC